ensembl:lncRNA
AGGACUUCUCUGAUGACACCAAGAAACAACCAGGCAUAAGGGAGCAGGAGAAUUGCUAGGCACUUUAUCUACAGUUGAUAUUUCAGAAAAACCAGAACAUUUAAAAAAGAAAUGUAAAGGAAUCCAGAAGAUUUCUUCCAACUGCCUCCUGCUAUUCGGGCAACUCCCUCAUGAAGCCCUGGAUCCCAGCCUGUUCCUAAUGAAGUGCAGAUUUCCAGUUCUUGGGAGGGUCUCAGAAAACUUCAUUCACUCUAUUGGCCAGGCUGCAUGCUCAACUGGAGGCUUGACUGGGGAAGAACCCACUUUCAAGCUGAUUCAGG